ensembl:lncRNA
UAUUGUUUUGUAUAUUUUGCAUUGUAUUGCAUAAUAAUACGGACAGUAAGUGCAGCCACUUCAUGACAUGAGCAGCAGACGUUCAAGGGGAGAUCAUCAGGUGGGCUUUUGGAGGAACAGGAACAGAAGCUGCUCCUGUGGAACAACAACACACAUUUUCAUUUAUUGUGCACAUUGGCAGGUAAACUGACCAGGCCUGACCAUCUCAUCAGUUCCUCCCCUGUGAGGGACAGCUGGCAUGAGGGGACUCUGCGCUUAUGUGCCUCUUUCCCAACUAAGGAGAAAUCACACUGAGACACAGGAGGAGACUGAGAGAAGUCACAGCUCAGCUCAACUGAGUCUCUCUCACUCAUCAUGUACGAAGACGCCCUCAGUGUGGGGGGAAACCCUGU